GGAAGAAGCCCCUCGGGGUGUAAACCGCUGUCGGGAGGGACAAAGAGACCCCCUCAGGGGUCUUGAUUGUACCUCCGGAGGAAGGGACGGCUAACUCCGUGCCAGCAGCCGCGGUAAUACGGAGGUCCCAAGGGUUGCCCGGAGUGACUGGGCGUAAAGGGUCCGUAGGCGGUCUGGUAAGUCUCCCGUGAAAGCUGCCCGCUCAACGGGCAGAGGUCGGGAGAUACUGCUGGACUCGGGACCAGCAGGGGGGACCGGAAUUCCCGGUGUAGCGGUGAAAUGCGUAGAUAUCGGGAGGAACGCCGAUGCCGAAGGGGGGUCCCUAGGCUGGUUCCGACGCUGAGGGACGAAAGCUGGGGGAGCGAACCGGAUUAGAGACCCGGGUAGUCCCAGCCGUCAACGAUGGGUGCUAGGGAGCGGGGUAAAUCCUCGCGCCCGAAGCUAACGCGUUAAGCACCCCGCCUGGGGAGUACAGCCGCAAGGCUGAAACUCAAACGAAUUGACGGGGACCCGAACAAGCCGCGGUGCAUUUGGUUUAAUUCGAUGCAGCGCGAAGAACCUUACCCGGGUUUGACAUGCUAGCGUAAGCCUGCCCGAAAGGGUAAGGUGGGCUGGGCGAUGAGUCCAGCCAGCUAGCACAGGUGCUACAUGGCUGUCGUCAGCUCGUGCCGUGAGGCGUCGGGUUAAGUCCCAGAACGAGCGCAACCCCUGCCCGCUGUUGCCAUUCCCCGAAAGGGGAGGCACUCUGCGGGGACUGCCGGGCGAAGAGUCGAGGAAGGAGGGGACGACGUCAAGCCCGCAUGGC
rnacentral:rRNA from 1 species